rnacentral:lncRNA from 1 species
AGAGAGAGAGAGAGAGAGAGAGAGAGAGAGAGAGUAAAUGAUGCAAAAGAAUGUUAUACGAAUACCUAUUUAUAGUUUUGUUUCUGAAUGUUUAAGCGUGUAGAAACUCCACAAACUUGUUAAAGAUUCGGACUAGAAAAGAUUGGAAGCAAAACUUUCCAAAACACAUGUGAUAAUUGAUUAUUCAAGGGUAAUAAUCAAUUAUAUUGGUGUUAAUUUUGAAGAUUUUGUGUGUUCUUCAUUAAUGAUCUGGUUUGAUUUGCUUAGAGGUGAAGAUACAUUUUGAUCUCGCUUGAAAAUUGAAAUGCAUGGAGCAUCUAAUCGAUUAUCUGCCUUGAUUUCAGCCUCUUUAGUUUUUUGGGCAUCGACUUGAGAUUUAGCUUUGCCAUACUGCUUUUGACACCCCCUUUUUCAUUCAGAUUGCACCUCUUUCUCCAAAAAUGCUUAGAACUUAAAUAAAUCAUUAGUUAAAGUGAUUUUAAAUGAUUGAGCAAUUUAUAAACCACUUAUUUAAAAGGUUAAUAAAAGUUUUCUGAUUUUCAACCUCUAAAAAGUGUAUCGCCUUAAAUCCCAAUUAGACUUGAGAAAAAAAUUCCCUUUUUGAAGGAACAACAAAACAAUGUCGUAAAUUCUUCUUUGUGAAUCGUUUGAUCAUAGAGUUGGGAUAAACUGCGAGGUUGGUAGGUCCAUCACAAACUUAUCACCUUAACCUAAUAAGAGGUUAAAUGAUCAUCACAUAUCAUUGUGAAUAUUGUGAAGCAUCCUCAAUAAUAGUACUUUUAUCAUUUAUGUUGAAAUACAUCAUCACCGAACAUACAUAGAGCACAAGAAUCAUAAUCAUCAAAUGUUAUCAGGCAUGAAUUUCACUUGUAUACUCAGACGUAUACAUCUUGCUUUGCAAAAAUAUGCAUUAAUUAUUCAUUAAAAGCGGAAAACUAUCCCUGCAAAAACACAUUAGAUUUUCACCUUUGGUACACAAAUAUUUUUGGGUUCUGGUGCAUUAGUAAAUCCAAGAGGUUUGGUGUUUUUACCUUUAUACCUUCUUGGUUUAUCAUAACAAAAAAUGGCUCUUAGUGGCCAAUCUUAACAAAACAAACAUUUAUAAGUAAGGUUAUUCAAUUUCUUCCUAUUUAAGCUUUUACUCUAUGAUCUACUCGAUUUAAAAUCUAAUCCAUUUUUAUUCAAGGAAGGUCUUUGAUUUGAUAAAAUCAAACCCAUGCUUUCUUUCCUCUUAGUAAAUUUACUUAGAUUUUCAUGUAGAUAUUUCACUUCCUUUUUUCAUUGAGAUACAAGUCUCACAUUUACUAACUUGGUUUCUAAUAGGGUUAAUAGUUAUUUUCCUCUUCCAUAUGGGCCAUAUUUGAAAAAAAACCUUGUAAAUUUGAAAACAAUGAAUUGGCUAAAUUAAUUCCAUAACGGAUUAGGCCAAUCAAUUAAUGAUCUCCAAUAAUCUAUUGUUCAAGACAGAAAUGGAAUUUUUUCAUAUUUUGCCAUUACCAAUCAUUAAUAAAAUGUCUCAAUUGAUAUUAGACUCAACCUAGUGAAAAUAAUCUAUUAUGUUAUUAGGUUAAUCGAUUAUUCAGUUGGAAAAACUCUUCCAUUCAAUCAGACACUCUCCUGAUGAGUUGAUUAGGCCAUAAUAACAUUUUCAGGUGGUUUAAAUGAAAUAUGAGAGGUCUCCCAAAGGUUUUUAGGGUGUAUGAUUUUUCCAUAGUAUUUCCAUAAAUACCAUUGUGUCUUUACAAGACAUUGGUCACUAAGACGGACACGACCAGACAAGCUUUCAUGCUUUCUCUAUUUUACAACUCUAAAGCUUCAAGUCUUGGUAUCAUUAUCUUUAAUUUUAGAAUCAUACAAAAGCUUUGAAUCUUCUUAAUGAGGCUUGUGAUAUCUUCAUGUUGAUUACCAUCUUUUGAGAGUUAAGAGGUUAAACUACUGGUGAACAUUGAAAAGUGUUUACUUGAAUGUCGUUUGACCAUAAUGUUGACUUUAAAGAUAUGCAUUUAUCUUCAAGAGAAUAUUCAAUAUUUUGAUUCAAGAGGAUAACUUAAUCAACCACGUUGAUCAUAUUUGAUCGCUUGAUCUAUCUUCAACAAAGAAAGACUUCACUUGAUAUUAAGCGUUGUCAUUAUAAAAACCAAACAACUACUCAGUUGUCAUGCAUUUCUUAUGUCAACAAACUUCAUCACCUUGGAUCACCUUGACAAUACCUACAAGUACAUAGAUCCACAUAAAAUGUCAUGGUUGGGAUCAAAAUUUUUCAUGGCUGAUAACUAGGAAAACUAUAUCUAACCCCUAACAAAAGAUAAAAUUAUCUGCACUUACUCAUCAUAGCUUUACAAUAAAGCCCUAGAAGAUAGAAUUUAAAUAACAUCAGCAAAGAUUUCUCGAGCAUCACUUUCGCCCUCAAUCUUCCUCUCCCAUCUCUCCUGUUGUGAUUUAUGGUGAGAACCUACUUUCUCUAAGAACUACCUUCAAUCCACUAAUAUCUCCCUUUUGUAGUGAAUGACAUACAUGCUUAUAGGGUUUAAAUUGUAGGCUCUAUAAGCGCACUGCCCACACUCUCUUAGCGAGCCUACUUUCUUCCCUACUAAGCAAUGCCAACUCACCUGCAAAUUGCUUCGCCGCCUUAGAUCGCAAAGCAUACCGUCUAUCCUCGCAUAACACAUUAACCCUUCCUUAAACUUGAAGUAACUUAUCUCUGAAGUCAUGAAUUGUCUUUGCUCGUUAAGCGUGCUUGAGUUCUUAGCUUAGCGAGGUUAGUUUGUUAACCUUGAAGUUUCUUGGCCAUGCAAUCUUUUUUUCCGCUAUUGCUCGCUAAGCGCGACUAAGUUAUUAGCUUAAUGAACCUUUCUUGUUGGGAAAGUGUUUUUGCAAGGUCUUUGUGUUGAUUCAGUGAUUUCUUAGUCAUUUUUACCUUUUUUAAUCAAUGUGUAGUUAAAAUGUCCAAACUCACAUUUUAUCAUUUUCAUUGAUUAAUCGAGGAUUUUUUCAUUGAUUACUUGUAAAAUACGUUAAUAAAUUCCUACAUAUUUAACGUAUUUUUCCAACUUAUCAACUCUCCCCAACUUAUCCUUUUGUUUGUCCUAAAACAAAAUUCAUUCAAAUGGUUAGGACAAAAUUUCCAAAUGCAUAUUUCAUAAGAAGUUUAAUGACUUGAUAAAAAGACUUUUGAAAAAACAUCCUUUAUGACAUUAUUUUAUUUACAAUGCAAGUUAAUAAUCAACAAUAUAAUUAUCAUCAAACCAUAGCUUGAAUAUAAAAAGUUUGCUUUACCAAAGUAAGAUUUUAAAUAAUAUCGAUAUCAAUAGUCAAUUAUUUAUUAGAAUCAUAUUGUCACUGAUUAUCCCUUAAAAAGUUUAUUGUUCCCUCAUUGUUGGAUAGUGCAUAAACUAUAGAAACAUUUUGCAUUUUAUCUAAGCAGUACCACAAGAUACAUAAUUAGUCGUGGAACACUAAGAUCUUUCUUUUUGGCUGUAACGUGGUUGGAAUACAAAAAAUAUUGGUUUUCUCUGGAUUCAAAAAGGCUAAAGAUAAGACAGCAAAAAAAAAUUGGUGUAUAAUUUUGUUUCUCCAAAAGUCUAUUUUCUUUUCUUUCCACUUUAUAACAAUUUUUUGGUGACUUUCUUGUAUUUGUAUGCUUUGACAUUUUGAGUUCUUUUCUUUUCUUUUGCUUUUUGUUUUUGUUUUUGUCAAAGCAUAUACCUUUCUUUCUUUUAACCACUACUACUUGAUUUUAUUUUUCAAAAAAUUUCCUUUCUCUCCAACUUUAUUAUUUUACAUACCCUUGCAUUUUUAAGUGCUCUCCUAUCCUUAAGACAAGAUGGUGAACAUUAUUUUUUUUAAAUUGGCUAAGAGUUGUAACGUUAAAAGAACAAAAUUUUCAAUUUUCAGCCUCAAAGGAGUUAUCAAAGGAUUACACCCUCACAAGGGAGACUUUUUGGUCAAGUAGUUUUUCAUUCUAAAAAACAAUGACUUAAUCAUAUCCAUGACUUCAAAUAUACCAAGUAAGAGAAAGGAUGAUUCAAAAUCCACGUAGUUAUUAUGUAGUUAUUAUGCAUAUCCGCUCUCAUUAUUUAUGUAAAACCCGAGAUUGCACACAUCUCACUUGAUUAAGCUUAUAUGAUUCUUCACUUUCAUUAACAUAUUUUUACUAGAGAGUAUUAAAAUCAAACCUUUUUUUGUAAGCAAUUAGUCUACGGUCAUGCUAUAAUUUAUAGAUAAUCAAGCAUUAAUCAUGAAUGAAGUAUUUGAAAGAAAAAACCUUUUUAUCAUGCCAUUGUUCCUGACUUUUGUCAUCAACUUGGUUUUUGUGAUUCAUAUGCAUUUGGUUUUUCAAGUCAAUUGAAUCAUCUACAAACAAAAAAUUUUAAGUAGAAAUUUUUGAAAAUUUUCAAACUUUUUCAACGAGUACUUAAUCAUGAAAACAAUUUAAAUUUCAUCGAUUUGUGUAGGUCCAAAUUUGAUCUUCCUUGCAUUCCACCACCUGCGGAAAAGUUUGAUCUUUCCUAAGGCCAUCAAAGUAUGACUGGUUUUGUAGAUAUCCUCACUUAGCCACGAGAAUUUUUGCUAAGCCACCAAAAUGUCGCAAAGUGCUCUAAGCGUACAACAUGGAUCGCUUAGCGGGUCUCCUACAAUAUUUCAUAUUACCUGCAUUACUUGUUUUAAAUUCAUCUCCAAACACAUCACAUAUCUUAAGGGAAAAUGUCUCAAUAUUAUGUUUUAAACGGUACUCAAGUGUUUUGGACGCUUGGGCAUGGCAUUUGUUAGAACUACACAUAAAAGUUUAUAAAAAGACAAAUUCUUUAAAACCUAAUUAACAAAAAAAACAGAAAUAAAAAAACAGAUAAAGUUCACAGUUAUGGUGGAAGAAUGCGGCAAAAUAUCAAUCAUCACCAUCAUCAUCAUCAUCAUCAUCAACAUCAUCAUCUUCUUCUUCUUCUUCACACUCGACCCAUUCUUCUUCUUCCUUUUCACUUUCCUUUUCAUCCUCAUAUUCCUCUUCUUCAGUCUUACUUUUACCAUCGCCUCUUCCAUUUCAGCUUGCCUUACCUCCCUAAUUUUCUGGAUAAAAUGGCCUACUCAUAGCCACUAUAGAUCACUGAUAAAAUUCUCCUUUGCAGGUAGAUGAUCACAGGGACAAUGAGGUUCAUGCAUCCACAGUUCUAAUCUACUCAUAGAAUCACGAAUGGAAAGCAAACCCUUUUAGUAUACAUCAUUAAUAUCCCAUGUAUGAAUAAAGUAGGUGUGAAAAUUAUGAUUCAUAAAAUCCAAGAUUAUAGGUUCUUAUUAGUGUUGUUGGGGGUGCUACAGGUGGAAUGGUUGGACGUCUUUGUUCUCUAUGGUUUAUUGCCAUACAAUAACGGUGAACAAAAUCUUCAUUCAUUUUUGUAUCAAGGCAUCAAUGGAAAUAGAACAUGAGGUCUACUUCAAAAAUUUUGAAGAGUCCAAUGAUCAAACUUUAUAAGGCUAAAUGAGGUUUUAAAAUUGAGUGCACAAUCGAUUAAAUCCUAUAUGAGAUGAUUUUAUAUGUUUAUCCCUUUAUGGUCAAAAUAUAAUAGAUAAGUUGGAUCAAUUUGAGGGUUGCUGAAGAGGUGUCGAGUUUAUGCGUGACAUUAGAUAACAUAAAGGUUAACUACAUUUGGGUUUCUGUGGUGAGAUUGGAUCUUUUGAGUUGGAUAUGACAAUCAUCUCUUCCUACUUCAUAUGUUUCAAAUUCAAUGCAUACGUCAGUUGUGAUCCUAUCAUAAUCCCAGUUAUUUCUCACAACUCCCCUCGAGAAGGAGUCUACCUCAAGUGGAUUUUCCUCGAAAGUGUCUUCUAAGUAUUCAUGUAUGGAUUCACUAUCAUAUGAAACUUGUCUUCCUUUUAAUCAGGAUACCCUUGAUAUCAUGGCAUCACCAUCUAAGGGUUUAGCAUUUGCACAUAAUACUCUUAUAAUAUCAAGAUUAAUUUCUUAUGGAGGAUUAACUCAACCUUGAAGUCACAAACCUUAUUUGUUCGCUAAGUGUGCAUGUGUUCUUGGCUUAGCGAGGUUAGGUUCUUAACCUUGAAGUUACUUGACCAUGAAGUCUUCUUUGACCGAAUUUGAUCGUUAAGCAUGCCUAUAUUCUUGCUUGGAUUAGUGAGUCUUCUUUGUUGGGAAAGUUCCUUAGCAAGGUCUUUAUGUUGCUUUGGUGAUUUCUUAAUUUUUUUUUUAUCUCUUUUUAGUUAAUUUAUAGUUAAAUUGUCCAAACAAUCAUUAUCACUUUUCAUUGAUUGAUUCAAGAUUUUUAAUUGAUUACUUAUAAAGUAAAUUAAUAAAUAUCUAUUUAUUUAAUUAUUUUUUUGGCACCUACCGAUUCUCUCAAUUUAUAGUAUAUAAUUUAUUAUAUAAAUCUAAGACUAAGUAAAAACAAUAACCAUAAAAAUACAAAAUAGAAAUACAAAGUGCAACAUAGUGAAAUUUAUCUUAUAAUAGAUUAAUCCUUUUUUUCUUUGACUACAUUAUUUCUUUUAUUCAAUUUUUAAGAAGUUGCGGCUCCAACAUAUUUUUAUUAUGUUAUUUAAUUUUAAAUAUAUCAAUUAAACAUAAAUUACUAAAAUUAUAUUUAUAACAUUUUUUUUUGGAAACGAGAAAAUAGACGUAAAUCUUUAACAAAGAGGUUGUGGUCAAUUAUGUAUAACAAUAAUAAUAAGGAAUAAAAAGGAUGGGUAUUUGCUACUUUUAGAAAGAGAGUGUAUACCAAAAAAUAAUAAAAAAGAAAAUAAGUGGUUAGAUAAUAAGGAUAAAAUGUGGAUAGAAAGAUAUAGUAAGAUAUACAUAAAAUCCUUAAAACCGUUCUCAUUGGUUGCAUCAAACAACAUCAUUUCAACCACAAACUCCCACAUGUCUUUCUCACCACACAUUCAUCUCAUUUUCAUUCCCUACAUAUCAUGUUUCUCUCACCCAUUCAUUUCACAAAUCUCUACUAACAGCUUCUGAGUUAACUAGUAAGGUUUCAACUCGACAACAAGAAGAAAAUCAUGGCAUUGAUGGCAGCUACAGCAAGCUCAGCAACUGUUGUUAAGCAAACUCCUUUCCUUGGUCAAAGGAAGAGUGCCAAUCCUCUUAGAGAUGUUGUUGCCAUGGGAACUUCCAAAUUCACCAUGGUAUUUUCACUAUGUUAACAUAUUUACAUUGUUGAAUUUUCAUUAGUCUUUAAACGUGUGGCUCUGAUAUGAUCGAUACAUGCAAUUUAUUUUGUGAUUGUGAAGGGAAAUGAUUUGUGGUAUGGACCAGACAGAGUGAAAUAUUUAGGACCAUUUUCAGCUCAGACUCCUUCAUACUUGACUGGAGAAUUCCCUGGUGAUUAUGGAUGGGACACUGCUGGUUUAUCUGCUGAUCCAGAAGCAUUUGCCAAGAACCGGGCUCUUGAGGUUGGUUCAUUGGUUACUUUUCAUGUUUAUAGUAGUUUGUUUGAACCAAUCAAUAUACUAAGUUGUUAGCAAAUCCUAGCUUAAUUGGCAGAAGCCGAUAUUGCUAGGUUUGACGUCAUCACUAGGGUUCGAACUCGAACUCUGAUGAUGAGUGUUGUGUGUGAGUUUCUAAAUCAUGUUGAAUAAUGAAGGUGAUCCAUGGAAGAUGGGCUAUGCUAGGAGCACUAGGAUGCAUAACACCAGAAGUACUUCAAAAAUGGGUUAGAGUUGACUUCAAAGAACCAGUUUGGUUCAAAGCAGGAUCACAGAUUUUCUCAGAAGGUGGACUAGACUAUUUAGGAAACCCUAACCUUGUUCAUGCACAAAGUAUCUUAGCAGUACUAGGUUUCCAAAUUGUUCUAAUGGGACUCGUCGAAGGUUUUCGCAUCAACGGACUUCCCGAUGUCGGAGAAGGCAAUGAUCUUUACCCUGGUGGGCAAUACUUUGAUCCUCUUGGUCUUGCCGACGAUCCGGUUACUUUCGCCGAGCUUAAAGUGAAGGAGAUCAAGAAUGGGAGAUUGGCUAUGUUCUCUAUGUUUGGUUUCUUUGUUCAAGCUAUUGUGACUGGUAAAGGACCUUUGGAGAAUCUGUUGGAUCACCUUGAUAACCCUGUUGCUAACAAUGCUUGGGUUUAUGCUACAAAGUUUGUGCCUGGUGCUUAAACAUUUGAUGUUAUCUAUGAUUGCAUUUGUGUGAAGGAUGAGACUUGGCAUUAUUGUAUAAAUUAUGAUGUUGAUGGUUGUUGGAUUAGUGCACUUGUUUGUUUCUUGGUUCUUAAGGACUAAGGUUCAUUUUAAAGAUGGGAGAUCUUUUGUUAAUAUGUUUUGUUCAAACCAACCAAUGAGAAAAGUUAUGUCAACAUGAUUUGUUUAAACCAAGUAACAAGGAAGGCAUAUAAAUGUUAUUUGUUGUUGAGAAAUUAAAUUUUAGAAUACAAUUUAUACUUAAACAUGGUCAAUUAAUAACUUAAAUGUUGCAAAAAUAGAUAUGAAUCCAAGGGUUGAAUCAUCUACAAGGAUUUUUAAAGUUAGGUAGCUGAGACAUACUAUAAAUGUUUAAGGCUUGAGUUUGAUUUUGGGUAAAGGUUUGAUUUUGGGUAAAGGUUUGAGUUUGAUUUAUGAUUUAUUAUAAGUUCUUUUUUUGUCAAAUUUAAUCUAAAAAUUUAUUUAAAAGUCUGUUUUAUAUUAAGAUUUCCAAAUAGUUUAUUUUACCUACUUAUUUAUCUAUUUUUUAAUAAAUAUACAUAUAAUAUAUAUAAAUACCGUAGACCUUAAAUAAGCAUCGGUAGGUCCGUUUGCCAUAUUUUCAUCCCUAAUCAUAAGUGACCAAUUUGUAAAAUAAAAUAGCCAUUCCUAAUCAUAAGUGACCAAUUUGUAAAAUAAAAUUCUCUUAGAAUCGAUUUUUUUUCCAAUUUCUAAUACAAUGUUAUGUUUCUAUCAAUACCCUUUAAUUAAUAUUAUUUGAUUUUCCUUAAUCAUAAACAAUAAUUGAUUUUGCAUUUUAAACAUUUUACAUGGAAGAAACAUUAUAUCUUAAUUAUUUUAGUUGUAGAUUUAUUGAACAUUGUUUUACAAUUUUGAAAAAAUUAUCACUAAAAAAUUAAUGGGUUGAGUAGUGUACUAAGUGGCUCUCUUUAAGACGUUUCGUGGUACUAUUAAAACUUCAAAGUUAUACAACACAAUCACUCAACAACGACGUCUCCAGGAUAAAAUAGUCAAAUUUUAUACUAUACAAUUACACCUUACACGGUGUAUAAUCAGCCUAGAUAUACACCCUUUAAUGAUACAAAGAUCAGUGGAUUAUGGUAUGAAUGUCAAUCGUCUAUUUUGUGAGAAAAAUAAUUGCGUAUCUGGUGAAAACCAAUUGUAUCAAGCACAAGGCAUCUAGUAAAAAAUUAAGAAUAAAAAAGAAAUAUUAUAAGAAAAAGCGGAGACGAGAAAGAUUUUGGAAUGUGAAAAAUCUGGAGUGAAGAGAAUGAGAUGAGAAGACACCUAUUUAUAGGUGAAAUUAUGAUCCCGAAUGAGAGAAUGUAUGGGGGAGUGGAGCGGAUUCUGCCUAAAAUUAUUUGUUAUGGAACUUGGUCAGCAAGGUGGAAACAUGAAAGAUAAGGAAAAUUGUGGUAACUUUGUCAAAAAUUAGGAUUACCAUUACGGGACAACACAUCAAUAGUUAAUUAAUAAAUUUUAAUUAAUAUUAAUUAAUUUUGACCAUUUUGGGUACCAAAAAAUAUGGAUCACCCAAGCCAAAACUUGGCCCAAAAUUGUGUACCCCUUAGGGCACACCUCAAGAGACAAACCUUCCAUAUAUAAGCACUAUUAUAGUGUGGUAACCCUCCUAUUUGAGACUAUAAUGAACUUUUUCAAAUUAACCUCUAGACACACUAAUUCAUACUUGUGUUAUUUCUUACCAACUUAAAGCGAAUAAUUCCUUCCUAUUACCAACUAAUCCUUUUAUUUCCAACUAUCCCAUACUUGAAUCUAAAAAAGUGUUUCAGAAGUAACGUCAAAUAUUUCUAAGAAUGUGCAUAAACAAAUGUGUCUAUGAUUUGAAAUUUUAUGUAGCAGGUAGCAUUCUGAUUCAAGAAAAGUGACAUAGUUGUCUUGAAAUUUAUCUCAGACAUUGUUUACUUGUAUUUUUAGUAAACAAUCACGAGCUUAUUCACUUAGGAGAUUAAACUCGAAAAAAUCUCAAGGAUAAUUUGUGAAAAAAUGUACGAAGAAAAUGGUUUGUCACUGUAACUUAAAUGUUUGAACGUUAACAAAUUGAAGAUAAAUUUGACCUGAAACAAUGCAGAAUUACUUUGGAGAAAUAAAAUAGACGAAGAGCAUAAUAAAUGUCAUAAAGUAAAUGCUUUGAUUGAAAAUACUUAACAAAAAUUAAAGGGUGGACACAAAAUUAUACAUUAUCUCACAAAUUGUUUCUCUCUGUAACUUGGGUACUUUAGUUCUAUAGAAAAUAUGUGAUAUUUGCGACCAUGAUCCCAUAUAAUGAGUUCGACUUAUAUACUAAUACAAUAGUAACCGUCGACAACUGAUAGAACCCCGAGAUCUUACAUGUAUCCCACUACUUGGUAUCCAACGCUCUAACUUGCUUCCACGCGUCUUUAAUGAUAAAACUACUAAAAACCAUUCAUCAUGCUGAUAACUGCUUUGAACCUCUUAAUUGCCUUUGUCGAGAGUCUUUGGUCGACUCUUAUAGUGUUGCUGAGACAUCUUCACAUCACCUAAUCUUUGGACUUUAGAAUAUCAUAAGUCCCCAAUAUCUGAUGGACGUGUCAAACUUGACCCUUAUCGAAGUGGUGAUUUAUGUAACCCAUUUCAAGAUUCUCAACAUGUUUUAAAGAGAGGAUAAUCCUAAUCUUAUGGAUUUGUUCUGGGACUCCUCCAAACCAAUAUUUAUGGAUAUUAAAACACCCUAUAUUUCGAAUCAUUUGAUAGGUUAGUCGAACCAUCUUAGUCGAAAUAGUUAGUAUGUCGAAGCCUUUCGUUAAGUCUUUUAUACUUAGAAUUUUCCAAAAUGAUGAUUCUCAUUCUUUAUUAACUUCUUCAGCUAAAACUUUCAUGCUAACAGACAUCAAACUUGCACAUAAACUUUUAGGUUGGGUUACCAUCAUGAGCAACUCACUUCUCUAUAGGCAUUAGUCUCGUCUUCUUGGAUGUAUUAUGGACUUUCUCUCUAACUAAUCAUUUCAUCAAAGGAUCUGCUAAAUUUCAUCAGUGUGCAUAUGAUUCACUCUUAUAGCUCCUUUAAAGACAUCAUCUCUAACAGUGUUAUUCUUCUUUCUUAUUUGACGUCUCUUACCAUUAUAAUAAAGGUUCUUAAUUUUUGUAAUAGUCGUUGUACUAUCGUAGUGGAUCAACACAACUGGCAUAAAUAUUUUCCAUAAAGGGAUCUCAGCUGGCAAACAUCUUAACCAAUUUACUUCUUCAUUAGCAGUCGUUAAUGCUAUAAUUUCAUACUUCAUCCUGGACUGGGCAAAAUAGUUUAUUUCUUUGAUUUCUAAGAUACAUCUUCUCUAGCUAUAGUGAAUAUAUAGCCACUAGUUUCUUUUGAAUCAUAUUAUAAGGUGUUAUAAUCUGAAUCAUUGUAUCAUUCAAGUACAGUAGGAAAUUUUUGAUAAUGUAAAUUGAUAUUCAUGGUCCUCUUAAGGUAUCACAUGAAUCUCUCAAUGGUUUGCAAUGCUUAUUACUCAGUCUACUUGUAAACCUUCACAAUAAUCCUACGACAUAUGAAAUGUUGAGUCUAGUACAACCAGUGGCAUACCUAAGAUUGUCAAUGAUGUUUGCAUACUCAUUUUUUCUAACACUAUCAUCAGUGUUCUUAAAUAGUUUUACACUUAGAUUGUAUGGUGCGCAAGCAAGUUUAUAGUCAAAAUAUUUAUAUUUAUUUAAGAUCUUAUCCAUAUAGUGCAAUUGAUCCAAAACAACUUCCUUCUCAGAUCUAGUGAUCAUGAUUAUGAGAAUUAUAGUGGCUUAUUUGGGGUCUUUCAUAUCAAAGUCGUUGCACAAUAAUGAUUUCACAUCAUUAACGGAGUGAAUGUUUUAUCCAAAUAUGAGUAAGUUGUCUACAUAAGACAUGUGAUAAUGCAAAUGUCAUUCACAUAUUUGUAAUAAAUGCAUUUGUCACUUUCGUUCACUUUGUACCCAUUUAAUAUCAUUAAGUUAUCAAAUUUUUCAUGUCAUUUCUUUAGAGCUUCUUUUAAACCAUACAAAUAUU